UACGAAGGGGGCUAGCGUUGCUCGGAAUCACUGGGCGUAAAGCGCACGUAGGCGGGUUCUUAAGUCAGGGGUGAAAUCCUGGAGCUCAACUCCAGAACUGCCUUUGAUACUGGGUAUCUCGAGUAUGGAAGAGGUGAGUGGAAUUCCGAGUGUAGAGGUGAAAUUCGUAGAUAUUCGGAGGAACACCAGUGGCGAAGGCGGCUCACUGGUCCAUUACUGACGCUGAGGUGCGAAAGCGUGGGGAGCAAACAGG
rnacentral:rRNA from 1 species